UACAGAGGCCACAAGCGUUAGUCGGAAUCACUGGGCUUAAAGGGUGCGUAGGCGGAUUGGUAAGUGUUCUGUGAAAGCCCCCGGCUCAACCGGGGAACUGCAGGGCAUACUGCCAGUCUUGAGGUAGGUAGGGGUCGCGAGAACAGUAGGUGGAGCGGUGAAAUGCGUAGAUAUCUACUGGAAUGCCGAUGGUGAAGACGCGCGACUGGGCCUAUCCUGACGCUGAAGCACGAAAGCGUGGGGAGCAAACAGG
rnacentral:rRNA from 1 species